GACGAACGCUGGCGGCGUGCCUAAUACAUGCAAGUCGAACGCAGUUGCGAACGGGUGAGUAACGCUUAGUUAACUUCCUCAUAGCGGGGGAUAACUAUUGGAAACGAUAGCUAAUACCGCAUACUGUGAGCUGGACCUGCGUUGUAUUAGGUAGUUGGUGAGGUAAAGGCUCACCAAGGCGACGAUACAUAGCCGACCUGCUAGGGUGAACGGCCAAAAUGGGAACGGGGAAAGGCCCAGAAUUCUAAGGGAGGCAGGAGGAGGGAAUUUUCGGAAAUGGACGGAAGUCUGAACGAGCAAAGGCGCGGGAGUGAAGAAGGGUUUCGGAUCGUAAAGCUAUGUUGUUAGAGAAGCGGUAACGAACCAGAAAGGGACGGAUAACUACGUGCCAGCAGCCGCGGUAAUAC
rnacentral:rRNA from 1 species